rnacentral:rRNA from 1 species
CUGACUGCAUCAGAUCUCAUCUGAUCUCAUAAGCUAAGCAG